rnacentral:rRNA from 1 species
UAUAGGGGAGCCGUAGAGAAAUCGAGUCUUAAUAGGGCGUUUAGUUGCUGGGUAUAGACCCGAAACCAGGCGAUCUAUCCAUGAGCAGGUUGAAGGUUGGGUAACACUAACUGGAGGACCGAACCCACUGUCGUUGAAAAGCCAGGGGAUGACUUGUGGAUAGGGGUGAAAGGCUAAUCAAGCCUGGUGAUAGCUGGUUCUCCCCGAAAGCUAUUUAGGUAGCGCCUCGGACGAAUACCAUAGGGGGUAGAGCACUGUUUCGGCUAGGGGGUCAUCCCGACUUACCAAACCGAUGCAAACUCCGAAUACCUAUGAGUACUAUCCGGGAGACAGACUGCGGGUGCUAACGUCCGUAGUCAAGAGGAAAACAAUCCAGACCGCCAGCUAAGGCCCCAAAAUCAUAGUUAAGUGGGAAACGAUGUGGGAAGGCAUAGACAGCUAGGAGGUUGGCUUAGAAGCAGCCACCCUUUAAAGAAAGCGUAAUAGCUCACUAGUCGAGUCGGCCUGCGCGGAAGAUGUAACGGGGCUAAAACUAUGUGCCGAAGC